rnacentral:lncRNA from 1 species
GACUAUAUCGAGUUUUCAAGGUCGUACACCCCAAAAUUUAUUGAUUGGAGUAUUUAGAUAGAACUCCUAUUCCUCAAACAUGGAAUUUAGUCAACCUCCAGCUCUAUUAUUAAUAAGAUGUACCUUAAAAUUCUUAUAAACUUGACCUCUCAAUGAAACUCUUUUCUUUUGGAAAGUAUUUAUCUGAAGUAUUUCAAUAUGGGAACAUGGCUUCUAAGCCAACACAA